ACAAGUACCGUGAGGGAAAGUUGAAAAGUACUUUGAAAAGAGAGUGCAAGAGAACGUGAAACCGGUGUAAUGGAAGCAUAUGGAGUUGACGUAUCUGGUGCGUAUUCAGUUGUUCGCGCGUUGCGCGGGUCGCGUUGUUUCCAUUCCGCAAGGUUGGCGACGUGGCUUUGGCGUGGCGUGCGGCGAUGCAUUUACGUACGGAGUGCGCCGAGUCGCGUGGUGGCGUCGGUCGAAGCCGUUUAAGAGGACGCAGCCUUCGCGGGCGGUGAAACCUUGCGCGGUGUAGGUCGAUUGUCGGCUGCGUGAUUUCGUGGAUUGUGCGGGCGUUCAGCGCGCGCGGCACAGCGUUGUUGCGGUUGGUUUACGUUUGCACGCGUGCGUGCGGCGUUCGUCGGCCGUAACGGUGGGGUGUCGUGCACCGCACACUUCUCGGUGUAUAGUCAAUGACCCAUUUGACCCGUCUUGAAACACGGACCAAGGAGUUUAUGGUAUACGCGAGUCAUUGGGCUUACGAAACCCAAAGGCGCAAUGAAAGUGAGACCGUUCAGCGGUUUUAAUGUGAUCGAGGGUUUUGUUUCGACGGCCUUUGAGCAACAUUGCCCCGUUUCGAGGACUUGUCCUGUUGCGGAGGUUGAGCGUAUGCUAUGAGACCCGAAAGAUGGUGAACUAUGCCUGAACAGGAUGAAGCCAGAGGAAACUCUGGUGGAAGUCCGAAGCGGUUCUGACGUGCAAAUCGAUCGUCUGAUUUUGGUAUAGGGGCGCAAGACUAAUCGAACCAUCUAGUAGCUGGUUCCUUCCGA
rnacentral:rRNA from 1 species